AAGCUUGCUUCUCCACCAAAACCAUCCAUUUUGGGAGAGAUUUAGAGAGAGAAAAUGGAGGCUUCUCUUUUUCCCUCUUUCCAUGCGUGUGUGGUGUGGCGUGUGCGUGUGUGGUGUGUGGCCGAAGGAGAAGAAGAAGCAUCUGAUGCUUCUUCAUAAUACCCCUCAAAACACUAUUCAUCCCGGGCAGCUUGAAAUCUGAUAAAUUUCGUUGGAGCUCUUCCGGAUGUCCGUUUGAGCUCAAAUUUGGCAGGCAAGUUCGGUUUCACUUCGUAUGUCCAAAGAAAUUUUAAUAUUUCAGUUUCGACCUCGUUUGGUCACUGAAAACUGUACCGAACUGCAAUCUUUAUCAGAUAGCUAUCAGAUUUUUAUUUCUCGCUCUACGGGUGUCAGAAAAAUAUGAAACCUUAAAUCUAGCCUCAUAAAAAUAUUUCUGACAUCUCUGCCAAUUUUUAUAAUUUUCUGAGACUGUGCAUUUUCUGCUAAUUUAUCUGCCCCGUUUCCAACAGAAAAUUCUAGAUCUUCUGUUUUCAUUCCGAUUUCAGCACAGGUCAUUUCUAACUCAUAUUUCACUUCUCUAAAUCCAAUAAAAAUAGUAUCUCAUACUAUUUUUAUUUAUUUCUAUUUUUAUAUUUAAAUCCGGUAUAUUACAUUACACCACAACCUUACCGGAACCAUUUAAAUGUACACUGUAACUUCAUAUUUUUAGAAGUUCGGUACCUUACAUGCAUAGACCCGCUAUACAG
rnacentral:lncRNA from 1 species